rfam:Bacteroidales bacterium KA00344 genomic scaffold Scaffold266, whole genome shotgun sequence.
GGGGCACGCUUAGAGCCCCACGCACAUUGUGUUAAUAGUGAUGCCUUUGGCCGGACAUCAUGGUUAGUGAAUC